rnacentral:rRNA from 1 species
AGAAUAUUCCGCAAUGGGCGAAAGCCUGACGGAGCGACGCCGCGUGGACGAUGAAGGCCGGAAGGUUGCAGAGUCCUUUGGCGCGCGAGGAAGGAGGGGAGGAAUGGAAAGCCUCCCCGGUGACUGUAGCGCGAGAACAAGCACCGGCUAAUUACGUGCCAGCAGCCGCGGUAACACGUAAGGUGCGAGCGUUGUUCGGAAUCAUUGGGCGUAAAGGGCAUGUAGGCGGCAUGGUAAGUCGGGCGUGAAAUGACGGGGCCCAACCCCGUCGCUGCGCCCGAUACUGAAGUGCUUGAGUCAGCGAGGCGGAGGCGGAAUUCCUGGUGUAGGGGUGAAAUCUGUAGAUAUCAGGAAGAACACCGGUGGCGAAGGCAGCCUCCGAGCGCAUGACUGACGCUGAGGUGCGAAGGUGCGGGGAGCGAACA